rnacentral:rRNA from 1 species
UACGAAGGUGGCAAGCGUUGUUCGGAUUUACUGGGCGUAAAGGGAGCGUAGGUGGUUAGGUAAGCCCUCCGGGAAAUCUUCAGGCUUAACCUGAAAAGGUCGGGGGGGACUGCCUGGCUAGAGGACGGGAGAGGAGCGCGGAAUUCCCGGUGCAGCGGUGAAAUGCGUAGAGAUCGGGAGGAAGGCCGGUGGCGAAGGCGGCGCUCUGGAACGUUUCUGACACUGAGGCUCGAAAGCGUGGGGAGCAAACAGG